UGGGGAAUUUUGGACAAUGGGCGCAAGCCUGAUCCAGCAAUGCCGCGUGAGUGAAGAAGGCCUUCGGGUUGUAAAGCUCUUUUGUCAGGGAAGAAACGGUGUUUUCUAAUACAGAGCGCUAAUGACGGUACCUGAAGAAUAAGCACCGGCUAACUACGUGCCAGCAGCCGCGGUAAUACGUAGGGUGCAAGCGUUAAUCGGAAUUACUGGGCGUAAAGCGUGCGCAGGCGGUUUUGUAAGACUGUCGUGAAAUCCCCGGGCUCAACCUGGGAAUGGCGAUGGUGACUGCAAGGCUAGAGUUUGGCAGAGGGGGGUAGAAUUCCACGUGUAGCAGUGAAAUGCGUAGAUAUGUGGAGGAACACCGAUGGCGAAGGCAGCCCCCUGGGUCAAAACUGACGCUCAUGCACGAAAGCGUGGGGAGCAAAC
rnacentral:rRNA from 1 species